CCUUUGCAGCCUACGCAUGCUGACGCAGCUACCCACCUGAACUAUACUGUAUAAUGUCAUGCUCCUUCUUUGAAGGUUGCUUGAAAGGGCAAAAAUAAUUCAAGAUGUUUUAUUCUCAAUGUUGCAAAUGCAACACAGUGAAAAUAUUCCACUGUUUGGCAAAAAAAAAGGUUUCAAAAUUUACAUUAAUCAUGCAUAUAAUAUUUGCCAAAGAAAAAAAGUGUUUUUACAAAGAUGAGGGUACAGUAUAAAGCGAAUGACUUGGUGAAUUAAGUACUCAUCUGUUAUAGCAGGGAUAACACACAGGGCAAUUAGCGUUUAUGUUCACUUAUUACAAGUGUUAAUAAAUGGGACAUACACUCAGGAGAAUGUUGAUUAAAAUCUGGGCUAUGUUAAUAACUGAUUGAGGUUCUCCAAGCCACAAGUCACAGGUGGGACACUUCUGUUUGGCGAUUCACCAUUUGACAUUGUUUCCUUCUCUCGUUGUGUAGCAGUGAUGUUUGAGGCCCGUGGGUCACUUGUCAUCAGAGACAGCUAUUUCGGUCCUCUAUCACAUGCAUGAAACUAAUAUUUGCACCGUGGAUUUUCGAUGUGAGAAAAAAGAUGGUGGCAGAACAUCUUGGGCUUCUCACAGAAUUCGUACAGCUCAGCAGCAGCUUCUCUGAAGGCUCCUGUCACUACAACAAGAGAUAUGUGUAAAAAGCAAGCACCACUGAGACAGGUAACCGCCGAAGACACAGAAAAGGAGGAACAGCAAACACUGUAGAAUCGGCAAAUGAAAUUCGAAAAGAUUGAGACAAAAUUCAAGACUUGGCAAACCUCUGUCACUUUAAGCUUAAACAUUGCAGGGCUUUGCAUGCGAAACUAUAAAUACAAAAUGGGGAAACAUUGAGGUUGAAGAGGGUAUGUAUGAAAAGGA